rnacentral:tRNA from 1 species
CUAGAGCCUUAGUGUUAGUAGCAAUACACGCUAGGGAAAGAAGACGAAAAAUACUAUUGGAAAGAAUCGCAAGAUUCAAUUACUCUCGCUGUUAGUUCAAAUAAUACACGUAAGACCGUUAUGAUGACGGUUUUAUUUUUAAGAAAAAGAGUGUCUCGUAGCUCAGCUGGUUAGAGUACUACACUGAUAAUGUAGGGGUCGACAGUUUGAGUCUGUCCGAGACAACUAUUUUGACU